rnacentral:misc_RNA from 1 species
ACUGAAUAUUCCUAUAGUUUUUCUUUUCUCUUAACUGGAUGCAAACACCAUAAAAACAUCAAUACUGACCAAACGGAAAUCAGUAACUACAUCCUAUGGAAAAUAGUACAAGGCUCUGAUAUACAACUCCUAAAUACUAAUAAACACAAGAUUAAAUACUGAUUAAAUACUUGGGUUCGCAUGAGUCAAUAAGUAAAUAAACUAGAACGCCAAGACAUAGCUUAACUCGAGUCCUGCAAUGCACUGAACAUUCCUGUAGUUUUUCUUUUCUGUUAACUGAACGCAAACACCAUACAAACGUCGAUCUGGCUGCACGUGAUAAAGCAGAAAACUCGUCCCUUGGCUAACUGGUAUCAGACUUAUCCAGAGUAUUGUAAUUAAGAAGCUUCUCAAUAAGGUCAACAUGAGUCAUGAGCAUUCGCCUGCAGCAGUAGCGAACCAAGCCCAGAGCAUCAAGUGCAUCCCCUUCUGAAUAGUCUGCCUGAAGAAGAUCAAGGUAAUGAUCCCAUUUGUUUCCAAUCACCUUUCCGCAAGUGAAGCAACGCACUGGAAUGAUCAUCUUCGCUUUCUGCCCCGCCCUCCGACGCUGCCUCCGAUCACGUUCUAGGGUUUUGGGAGUUUUCUGCUCAACCACCUCCGAUACCGACG